rnacentral:rRNA from 1 species
AACGAACGCUGGCGGCAUGCCUAACACAUGCAAGUCGAACGAAGCCUUCGGGCUUAGUGGCGCACGGGUGCGUAACGCGUGGGAAUCUGCCCUUGGGUUCGGAAUAACAGUUAGAAAUGACUGCUAAUACCGGAUGAUGUCUUCGGACCAAAGAUUUAUCGCCCAAGGAUGAGCCCGCGUCGGAUUAGCUAGUUGGUGAGGUAAAGGCUCACCAAGGCGACGAUCCGUAGCUGGUCUGAGAGGAUGAUCAGCCACACUGGGACUGAGACACGGCCCAGACUCCUACGGGAGGCAGCAGUGGGGAAUAUUGGACAAUGGGCGAAAGCCUGAUCCAGCAAUGCCGCGUGAGUGAUGAAGGCCUUAGGGUUGUAAAGCUCUUUUACCCGGGAUGAUAAUGACAGUACCGGGAGAAUAAGCCCCGGCUAACUCCGUGCCAGCAGCCGCCGUAAAAC